UACGUAGGGUGCAAGCGUUAUCCGGAAUUAUUGGGCGUAAAGAGCUCGUAGGCGGUUUGUCGCGUCUGCUGUGAAAACUGGAGGCUCAACCUCCAGCCUGCAGUGGGUACGGGCAGACUAGAGUGCGGUAGGGGAGAUUUGGAAUUCCUGGUGUAGCGGUGGAAUGCGCAGAUAUCAGGAGGAACACCGAUGGCGAAGGCAGAUCUCUGGGCCGUAACUGACGCUGAGGAGCGAAAGCAUGGGGAGCGAACAGGG
rnacentral:rRNA from 1 species